rnacentral:tmRNA from 1 species
ACGGUGGGAAAACAUUUAAACGCAGAAGAAAAUUUUGCAUUAGCUGCAUAAGCUACGUCCCUCAUACUUGUGCCUACCAAGUGUGAAUGGACGUCAAACCGUAGGCUGGCUUAAUUCAGUUGUUCAUAUGAAUUAGGCGAGACAACAUGAACUGGGGUUGUGUAGCUUGUCUGUGAGCGGUAGCAACCUGAGAACUCAAUCAUAGACUGUGCUCGGAGAAGUCUAUAUGGCAACACUUCUGGACAGGGGUUCGACUCCCCUCAUCUCCACCA